rnacentral:rRNA from 1 species
AUUGAACGCUGGCGGCAGGCCUAACACAUGCAAGUCGAGCGGAUGAAGGGAGCUUGCUCCUGGAUUCAGCGGCGGACGGGUGAGUAAUGCCUAGGAAUCUGCCUGGUAGUGGGGGAUAACGUCCGGAAACGGGCGCUAAUACCGCAUACGUCCUGAGGGAGAAAGUGGGGGAUCUUCGGACCUCACGCUAUCAGAUGAGCCUAGGUCGGAUUAGCUAGUUGGUGGGGUAAAGGCCUACCAAGGCGACGAUCCGUAACUGGUCUGAGAGGAUGAUCAGUCACACUGGAACUGAGACACGGUCCAGACUCCUACGGGAAGCAGCAGUGGGGAAUAUUGGACAAUGGGCGAAAGCCUGAUCCAGCCAUGCCGCGUGUGUGAAGAAGGUCUUCGGAUUGUAAAGCACUUUAAGCUGGGAGGAAGGGCAGUAAGUUAAUACCUUGCUGUUUUGACGUUACCAACAGAAUAAGCACCGGCUAACUUCGUG